GGGAAGGUAGCUCAGUGGUAGAGUGCUUGCCUCGCAUGCAUGAGGUCCUGAGUUCGAUUCCUCAGCACCA
rnacentral:tRNA from 1 species